UACGAGAGGCCCAAACGUUAUUCGGAUUUACUGGGCUUAAAGAGUUCGUAGGCGGCGCGGAAAGUAGGGUGUGAAAGCCCUCGGCUCAACCGAGGAAUUGCGCUCUAAACUACCGUGCUUGAGGAACCUAGAGGUGAGCAGAACUGAUGGUGGAGCGGUGAAAUGCGUUGAUAUCAUCAGGAAUACCGGAGGCGAAGGCGGCUCACUAGGCUGUAACUGACGCUGAGGCACGAAAGUGUGGGGAUCAAACAGG
rnacentral:rRNA from 1 species